rnacentral:rRNA from 1 species
AUUGAACGCUGGCGGCAGGCUUAACACAUGCAAGUCGAGCGGGGGAGGUUACUUCGGUAACUGACCUAGCGGCGGACGGGUGAGUAAUGCUUAGGAAUCUGCCUAUUAGUGGGGGACAACAUUCCGAAAGGAAUGCUAAUACCGCAUACGCCCUACGGGGGAAAGCAGGGGAUCUUCGGACCUUGCGCUAAUAGAUGAGCCUAAGUCGGAUUAGCUAGUUGGUGGGGUAAAUGCCUACCAAGGCGACGAUCUGUAGCGGGUAUGGGAGGAUGAUCCGCCACACUGGGACUGAGACACGGCCCAGACUCCUACGGGAGGUAGCAGUGGGGAAUAUUGGACAAUGGGGGGAACCCUGAUCCAGCCAUGCCGCGUGUGUGAAGAAGGCCUUAUGGUUGUAAAGCACUUUAAGCGAGGAGGAGGCUCCUUUAGUUAAUACCUAAAGAGAGUGGACGUUACUCGCAGAAUAAGCCCCGGCUAACUUCGUGCCAGCCGCCGCAGUAAUAC